ACCGGAUCGAAGAUAACACAGGCAACACUUAUGUGUUCUUCAGAUGCUUUGAAUCAUUUCCCCCUAAAAUCGACAUCGUGAAUGGUUGAAUCCUUGGUCACUGCGAUUGUCGUGAGAGGCCUUUAUCAGAUCAGAGAUAAGGCUCAAAGAAAUUGCUGAUUUGUGCAGUUUUGGCUCAAAGUUGGCGAUGCAGGUGCGAUGUAUUGAGCUGUUGUCUGGAUAGCACAUGUGAAAUUAGUGGUAGGAUAUGCUUUCUGGUCUCGCCACUCGAGGAAGGCUCAAGACUUGUCCGGAUAGAAGUCCCCAUUUGAGUUACGGGACAAUUCCUUAUAAAUAGUUUUAUUUGAAGGGUUCUGUGUAAGUGUUGUGUUGAGUUGUAAACACUGGGAGAGUGUCGUCUAGAGCAAGAGAGAGGGGGUUUGAGAUUGUGAGAGUCUGAGAGAAAAGAGAUUUGAGUUAGUUCUUGAGUUCAGAGGCUCAUUUCUUUUGAAAAUCUUCUUUAUAUUCGUGGAAUUGUUCUAAUAAAUUAAAUUAUCAUUAUUUUU